rnacentral:lncRNA from 10 species
AAGACUGACCAGCUUCUUCUGAAGACUUCUGCCCUCUAAAGACUAAGGCCUAAUUCCACUGGUUUCUUUGAAUUCCGUGGUCCUAAGUCCAUUUUCAGACAAAGUUUCUGUGGAAAGACCUACGGACAAAGACAUCUCUCCUUGGCAGAGUGAGCUAGGAUUACCAGCUCUUCAGCCGCAGCUGAAGGCGGGAGUCCAUGGAACCCCAGAAGCUGCUGAUAAUUGGAUUUCUGCUAUGCUCUCUAACUUGCCUCUUGUUGGAGACAGUAGCUUCCUCUCCUUUGCCUUUGUCUGCCUUGGGAAUACAAGAAAAAACAGGAUCGAAACCACGCUCAGGGGGUAAUCACAGGUCCUGGCUGAACAACUUCAGGGAUUACUUAUGGCAACUUAUCAAGAGUGCCUUACCUCCAGCAGCCAUUGUUGCUUUUCUUCUCACCUCAGCACUAAUGGGGAUCCUCUGCUGCUUCACCAUUCUUGUAGUUGAUCCAGUCCACUGAAGAACUAGAAGAUUCAACAGGGCAAGUGUGGUCUCUCCAGUUGGACUCCAAAAGAGUGGGGCAUUUGCUAUCUGCUUAAAAUGAGGAAGUAUCUAUCAGUUGAAAUUAAAUCGUCUUCCAACUUGAAUCAUCCUUUGCCUUCAUUUUCUCCUUCAAAAGUUGCAAUUUUAAAAUGUGAAUAUCCUUAUUACUGUUUUGGUUAUAAUAGUAAUACAUAUUUAUUGCAAAAAAAAUUUGAGAAAUACAGAGAAAAGAGUAAGUUUCCAUAAUUCUAGCAACCAGAAAUAAACAUCAUUAACAUCUUGAUGUACCUCCCUUCAAUUUUUUUCUAUAUAUGUAUUACAAGUUUUCCAAAGUCUGUUCUGUGAAACAAUAGUUCUGUUUUAAUAAAAGUCACAAAACAGUGA